GCAGGCAUUUGAUUUGGGAUUCGCGACCCGGCGCCGCGCGUCUGAAAAGACACGGAAGACGUCGCUGUAGUGAUUGGAACUGCUGCAUGGUCUUGUCCUCGGAUCGAUUUCGCUUCGAGGAUGCAUGCAGAGGCCGCGGCGUCCCGCAUGGGCCCGACGUUUAUUCU
rnacentral:sRNA from 1 species